rnacentral:ribozyme from 1 species
UUUUUUUUUUUUUUUUUUUUUUUUUUUUUUUUUUUUUUUUUUUUUUCCU